GAAUAUCGCUAUGGUAGGGGCGCCCCAAAACUCGGAGGCCAGGGGCGCAAAGGGGAAAGCCGGUCCAAGUCCGGCGCUGUCCCGCAACUGUAGGAACACAGAUCGCAGGUUUUUGUGGAUCGUCCGUGUUCAAGCCAGGAUACCCGCCUCUACCAAUGUACACAA
rnacentral:ncRNA from 2 species